AGUUAAAUAUGACAAGAGCAUUUAGUGAAUGCCUUGGCGAUAAGAGGCGAUGAAAGACGUGCUACACUGCGAUAAGCUUCGGGGAGUUGUGAAGGAACUUUGAUCCGGAGAUUUCUGAAUGGGGCAACCCACCUCUAUAUCCAUUUCAAGCCCAGCAGGUAACUGCUGUGCCGUGAAGCGGGUAUAAAACGAGGUAUAAAUAUCUGAAUACAUAGGAUAUUUAAGCAAACCCGGCGAAUUGAAAUAUCUCAGUAGCCGGAGGAAAGGACAUCAAUUGAGACUCCGUUAGUAGUGACGAGCGAACGCGGACCAGGCCAGUGUUGAAUGUGAAACAAUCGGAACCUUCUGGAAAGUUGGGCCAUAGCGGGUGAUAGCCCCGUACGAGUAAUCUAACAUUCUUCCUUGAGUAAGGCGGGACACGAGAAAUCCUGUCUGAACAUGGGUCGACCACGAUCCAAGCCUAAGUACUCCUUAUCGACCGAUAGUGAACAAGUACAGUGAUGGAAAGGUGAAAAGCACCCCGACGAGGGGAGUGAAAUAGUCCCUGAAACUGAAUGCUUACAAGCAGUCGGAGCCCCACUACCAAGUGGUGGGCUUUUGAAUGUGGUUAUAUGUGCUUGCUAUACCAACCCCCAAAUGUGCAUUUUUAGUGAAGUGCGCAGACCCCUUAUUCGACUUAAGCGAAUCUUUCGUGAAAAGUGCAAAUGAGGGACAGGAUGCUUUGUCCCUAAAUGACGAAGUUAUCCACAGCGGAUGGUUUAGCGAGUUACUAUAGAACAACGUGAUGCAAUGCUGAUUGAGUGUUCAAUGAGUAUGUGCGUAACGUGAAAAACCACAGAGCCACAGCCAACUAUUUGGUGGUGGGGUGACGGCGUACCUCUUGUAUAAUGGGUCAGCGACUUAAUGUAUGCAGCAAGCUUAAGCCGAUAGGUGUAGGCGUAGCGAAAGCGAGUCUGAAUAGGGCGACAAGUUGCAUGUAUUAGACCCGAAACGAGGUGAUCUAGCCAUGGUCAGGUUGAAGGUUGGGUAACACCAGCUGGAGGACCGAACCGACCACCGUUGAAAAGGUGGCGGAUGAACUGUGGUUAGGGGUGAAAGGCCAAUCAAACUUCGUUAUAGCUGGUUCUCCGCGAAAACUAUUUAGGUAGUGCCUUGGACGAAUACCAUCGGGGGUAGAGCACUGGAUGGGCUAGGGGGUCCCAAAGACUUACCAAACCUAACCAAACUCCGAAUACCGAUGAGUACUAUCCAGGAGACAGACUGCGACAGCUAACUGCCGUAGUCGAGAGGGAAACAACCCAGAUCUACAGCUAAGGUCCCCAAAUCGAGAUUAAGUUGGGAAGCAUGUGAGACGGCCAUAACAACCAGGAGGUUGGCUUAGAAGCAGCCAUCCUUUAAAGAAAGCGUAACAGCUCACUGGUCUAAUUAAGCUAUCUUGCGGCGAAAAUGUACCGGGGAUUAAAUCUCGUACCGAAGCUUAGAAUGUGCAAUUUAUUGCACGUGGUAGCGGAGCGUUCUGUAAGCCUGCGAAGCCAGCCUGUCAGGGAUGGUGGAGGUAUCAGAAGUGCGAAUGCUGACAUGAGUAGCGACAAACAGAGUGAGAGACUCUGUCACCGAAAUCCCAAGGGUUCCUGCAUUAUGUUAAUCAGAGCAGGGUUAGCCGGCCCCUAAGGCGAGGCGGAAACGCGUAGUCGAUGGGAACCACGUUAAUAUUCGUGGGCUAGUUGGUAGUGACGCAUUGCGUAAAUUGUUCCUCCUUAUUGGAUUGGAGGGGCGAUGAAGCGGUGCCAGGAAAUAGCUCCAACAUAAAACCGUACCCGAAACCGACACAGGUGGGAAGGUAGAGUAUACCAAGGUGCUUGAGAGAAUGAUGCUGAAGGAACUAGGCAAAUUGCACGCGUAACUUCGGGAUAAGCGUGGCCCAUCUGUACGCAAGUAUGAAUGGGCGGCACAAGCCAGGGGGUGGCGACUGUUUAUUUAAAACACAGGGCUCUGCGAAGGCUCUCAAGCCGACGUAUAGGGUCUGACGCCUGCCCGGUGCUGGAAGGUUAAGUCGAGGAGUGCAAGCUCUGAAAUGAAGCCCCAGUAAACGGCGGCCGUAACUAUAACGGUCCUAAGGUAGCGAAAUUCCUUGUCGGGUAAGUUCCGACCCGCAUGAAUGGCGUAACGAUCUCCCCACUGUCUCCAGCAUCAACUCAGCGAAAUUGAAUUCUCCGUGAAGAUGCGGAGUACCCGUGGUUAGACGGAAAGACCCCGUGCACCUUUACUGCAAUUUUACAUCGGUAUUAGGCAUCGUCUGUGUAGGAUAGGUGGGAGACUUUGAAGCUUGGGCGCCAGCUCGAGUGGAGUCACCCUUGAAAUACCACCCUGACGUAGCUUGAUAUCUAACCAAGACCGCUCAUCGCGGUCUGGGACUAUGUAUGAUGGGCAGUUUGACUGGGGCGGUCGCCUCCCAAAGAGUAACGGAGGCGCGCGAUGGUAAGCUCAGGACGGUCGGAAAUCGUCCUCUAGAGUGUAAGGGCAUAAGCUUGCCUGACUGUGACAGUGACAGCUGAAACAGAUACGAAAGUAGGUCCUAGUGAUCCGGUGGUUCCAAGUGGAAGGGCCAUCGCUCAACGGAUAAAAGGUACGCCGGGGAUAACAGGCUGAUCUUGCCCAAGAGUCCAUAUCGACGGCAAGGUUUGGCACCUCGAUGUCGGCUCAUCACAUCCUGGGGCUGGAGAAGGUCCCAAGGGUAUGGCUGUUCGCCAUUUAAAGUGGUACGUGAGCUGGGUUUAGAACGUCGUGAGACAGUUCGGUCCCUAUCUGCCAUGGGUGUAGGAAAUUUGAGAGGAUCUGACCUUAGUACGAGAGGACCGGGUUGGACAUACCUCUGGUGUACCAGUCGUUCUGCCAAGAGCGCAGCUGGGUAGCUAUGUAUGGACGGGAUAAACGCUGAAAGCAUCUAAGCGUGAAACCUACCUCGAAACAAGAUUUCCCUAUGAGAGCCGUGAUAGACCAUCACGUUGAUAGGACACAUGUGGAAGCUCCGUAAGGAGUGCAGCUAAGUGUUACUAAUUGCUCCAUUGAUUUAACAAU
rnacentral:rRNA from 1 species